CACAAGGAGGAAGGAUCUCUAUCUGGAGAUCACUCCUUUUGAAGCCCUUCCAUCAGCCCAAGAUGUAGGAGUCAAUAUCAGCACAGUCACUUCAACUUGUAAAUGGAUUGUUGAAGGACCCUAGUCAGGAGUGAAAACUGGUAACUGGUACCAACCUUUCUAAACGUGGGAUACAAUAGAAGAAGUUCACAGAUGAAUUUCACUGUGCCCAUCUAUCACAACUGAUAAUUGCUUCUGAGAGGAAAUCUUGAGGAAUUCCCUCUUAGAUGUCAGAAGAACUUAGCAUGAGGAUUUUUAAGACAAAAUGGCAGGAACUGAUCAAAUAAAUAAUUAAGCAUAUCGUAAUAAUUUUCCAAAUCUGGAGAAAUACAUGUGUGCCUUAAAUCUUCCUUUUUUUCCCAGCUACUCUUUUCUUUGUUAGUGAAGUGAAAUACUUUCCCAGAAAACCUUUCUUCUCCUGAGUUUAUUACUGAACUGACAACUGAAAACAAAAUUUUUGUUUCUUUCUGCUAUGUUGUAUUAGAUGCAUCUUGGCAAAAAGAAAAUAAAGAAAAUAAUUGCUCUCCUUUCAGAAUAAAAUCAUCUGUUUACUUUCAGAAGAAAAUAAUGUGUCCAUUUCCUUCCAAUUCCAGUUUUUCAUUUUGUUCUGCUUUUCUUUGGAGGAUAGGAUACAUUCUGAGAAAAACUGAAUUAAUCUCAAUCUAGAGGUAAAUUCAUCUUAAAAGGCCACAUAUGCACUGUAAUAAUAACUUUCUUUAAUGCUGUGCAAUGCAUAUAGUAAUCUUUGAAAAGAUCACCAUUUCAAUUGUUGUUUCUCCUAGGAGAAAGUAGGGGGAACUGGAAAAGCAAAUUGUACUGAUGUAGUAUUCUUUAAACCAGUUAGAACACAAGAUGAGACUAAAAGGAAC
ensembl:lncRNA